GCACCAACAAUCACUGCAAAUCCCAACAAACAUGCACUCUCAUUCCGGAAAAACCAUGUUGGACGAAGUCAGCUCAGGUGAUUUAUGGGACAGGAAAAACCGCUGACCUGUAGGAAGGUGGACAAUAAGCUGCCGAGUGAGACCUGCUGUGGACAAUUCACCAAAAGCUGUCUCAUCCUGCUCUCAGCGCUGCGUCAUCUACAGCCAGAAGUGGGUUGACAAACAAGAAAGAUGAACGGAGCAACAUCCAGAUGGAAACCUGCAAGAUGCUGCAGACACUGAAACUGUAAUGGAGGUUGAUCGGAUAAGCCAAAGCACAGAGGCUGCCAUGAUAGGUGGAUCUAAAUAUUGCUAGCACUAAGGAAGCAGGUAAGAAGAGCCGAUUGAUAGAUAAUUUAGUAAACGGACCUCUAGA